rnacentral:rRNA from 1 species
UACAGAGGUCUCGAGCGUUAGGCGGAAUCACUGGGCUUAAAGCGUGUGUAGGCGGAUCGUUAAGUGCCUUGUGAAAAUCCCACGGCUCAACCGUGGAACUGCUUGGCAUACUGGCGGUCUUGAGCAACCUAGGGGCGAGCGGAACAAAUGGUGGAGCGGUGAAAUGCGUAGAUAUCUGGAGGAACACCGGUGGCGAAGGCGG